rnacentral:rRNA from 1 species
AGCCUGAUGCAGCGACGCCGCGUGAGGGAUGACGGCCUUCGGGUUGUAAACCUCUUUCGCUCAUGGUCAAGCCGCAACAAUGGUUGUGGUGAGGGUAGUGGGUAAAGAAGCGCCGGCUAACUACGUGCCAGCAGCCGCGGUAAUACGUAGGGCGCGAGCGUUGUCCGGAAUUAUUGGGCGUAAAGAGCUCGUAGGCGGCUGGUCGCGUCUGUCGUGAAAUCCUCUGGCUUAACUGGGGGCUUGCGGUGGGUACGGGCCGGCUUGAGUGCGGUAGGGGAGACUGGAACUCCUGGUGUAGCGGUGGAAUGCGCAGAUAUCAGGAAGAACACCGGUGGCGAAGGCGGGUCUCUGGGCCGUUACUGACGCUGAGGAGCGAAAGCGUGGGGAGCGAACAGGAUUAGAUACCCUGGUAGUCCACGCCGUAAACGUUGGGCACUAGGUGUGGGGGGCCUUUUCCGGGUUUUCCGCGCCGUAGCUAACGCAUUAAGUGCCCCGCCUGGGGAGUACGGCCGCAAGGCUAAAACUCAAAGGAAUUGACGGGGGCCCGCACAAGCGGCGGAGCAUGCGGAUUAAUUCGAUGCAACGCGAAGAACCUUACCAAGGCUUGACAUGUGCCGGUCGGCUCCGGAGACGGGGUUUCCUCCUUGUGGGGCCGGUUCACAGGUGGUGCAUGGUUGUCGUCAGCUCGUGUCGUGAGAUGUUGGGUUAAGUCCCGCAACGAGCGCAACCCUUGUCUCGUGUUGCCAGCACGUUGUGGUGGGGACUCGCGGGAGACUGCCGGGGUCAACUCGGAGGAAGGUGGGGAUGACGUCAAAUCAUCAUGCCCCUUAUGUCUUGGGCUUCACGCAUGCUACAAUGGCCGGUACAGAGGGUUGCGAUACUGUGAGGUGGAGCUAAUCCCUUAAAGCCGGUCUCAGUUCGGAUUGGGGUCUGCAACUCGACCCCAUGAAGGUGGAGUCGCUAGUAAUCGCAGAUCAGCAACGCUGCGGUGAAUACGUUCUCGGGCCUUGUACACACCGCCCGUCACGUCACGAAAGUUGGUAACACCCGAAGCCCAUGGCCUAACCGUUUUUGCGGGGGGAGUGGUCGAAGGUGGGAUUGGCGAUUGGGACGAAGUCGUAACAAGGUAG